rnacentral:lncRNA from 1 species
GCGUAUUAUGUCAUCAACUACUCCAAGCUUCGGAUUUGGGAGGUAAUAAUCCUGCAUAUUUUCAAGAAUCAAAUGAUUAUAUAUAAUGCAUGCACAGAAAACGUAUGAUGUUAUGCUCAAUUGAAUUUGUUUCUUAAUGCAGUUUGUGGAGUACAGCAAGAUGAUAUACUUGGAUGGAGACAUACAGGUUUUUGACAACAUAGAUCACCUCUUUGAUUUGCCAAAUGAGUAUUUCUAUGCUGUGAUGGACUGUUUUUGUGAGAAGACAUGGAGUCACACCCCACAAUUCAAGAUUGGGUAUUGCCAACAGUGCCCGGAUAAGGUCCAUUGGCCUCAAGAAUUGGGUCCUAAUCCUCCUCUCUAUUUCAAUGCUGGGAUGUUUGUCUUUGAACCAAGCCUCCCCAC